GGGAAUCUUGCGCAAUGGGCGAAAGCCUGACGCAGCGACACCGCGUGGAGGAUGAAUGUCUUAGGAUUGUAAACUCCUUUUAUCAAGGAAGAGAACGGACGGUACUUGAUGAAUAAGGUUCGGCUAACUACGUGCCAGCAGCCGCGGUAAUACGUAGGAACCGAGCGUUGUCCGAAUUUACUGGGCGUAAAGAGCGCGUAGGCGGUUUAUUAAGUCUCAUGUGUAAUCUCCCGGCUCAACUGGGAGGGGUCAUGGGAUACUGGUAGACUUGAAGAUAGCAGAGGAAAGCGGAAUUCCCGGAGUAGUGGUGAAAUGCGUAGAUACCGGGAGGAACACCAGAAGCGAAGGCGGCUUUCUGGGCUAUUCUUGACGCUGAGGCGCGAAAGCGUGGGGAGCGAACCGGAUUAGAUACCCGGGUAGUCCACGCCCUAAACGAUGGAUACUAGAUGUUGGAGGUAUAGACCCCUUCAGUGUCGAAGUUAACGCGAUAAGUAUCCCGCCUGGGGAGUACGGCCGCAAGGCUAAAACUCAAAGGAAUUGACGGGGACCCGCACAAGCAGCGGAGCGUGUGGUUUAAUUCGAUGCAAAGCGAAAAACCUUACCUAGGCUUGACAUGUUUCUGAAAGCCCCCGAAACGGGGCCCUCCUUCGGGACAGAAUCACAGAUGUUGCAUGGCUGUCGUCAGCUCGUGUCGUGAGAUGUUGGGUUAAGUCCCGCAACGAGCGCAACCCCUGUCGUUAGUUACUAUGUCUAACGAGACUGCCCCCAUUGGGGAGAGGAAGGUGGGGACGAGGUCAAGUCGUCAUGGCUCUUACGCCUAGGGCUACACACACGCUACAAUGGUCGGAAACAAUGGGCUGCAACAGCGCGAGCUGAAGCGAAUCCCCAAAGCCGAUCUCAGUUGGAAUUGUAGGCUGCAACUCGCCUACAUGAACGUGGAGUUGCUAGUAACCGUAGGUCAGCACACUACGGUGAAUACGUUCUCGGGUCUUGUACACACCGCCCGUCAAGUCAUGGAAGUCGGUAACACUUGAAGUCGUUGGGCCAACCCUUUGGGAGGCAGACGCCGAGAGUGGGACUGGUGACUGGGACUAAGUCGUAACAAGGUAGCUGUAGCGGAAGCUGCGGCUG
rnacentral:rRNA from 1 species